CAGGCUUUUGUGGCGCAGUCGACUCUCGCGCAGCCCCAGCCCGCGGCUCGCGGCCCCGCAGCCUGGCGGGGCCGAGCAGUGCGCACCCCCUCCCACUCGCGCGGACUCCCGGCACCCGCCCUCCCACCUUCCGCUGCCAGCCCCCCAGACCCCGCCGCGCUGGCCCCCUUCCCUUGCCCCGCCCCCAGCUUGGCCCGCGAGAAGCCGGCAGAGGCCGCCGGGCUGCCACCUGGGGGGACGAACGGCCCGUGCCCCCUCUCCGCCCGGGUGACUGAGCGCAGGACCCUAGUGCCAGGGCCGAGAGCCGCGGGUGAUGGGGCGGGAGCGUGGCACCCGAGGCCCGGGUCCUCCUGGGGGUGCCGUGCGUGGCUCUCACUUCCACCUUCCUGCGUCCACCCUGCCUGCCGCACGGUGCGAAGCUCCCCGCGUGGCCUCGCGUCUGGUCUCCGGCCCCGCGCCGCCCGGCGUGUCCCCGCGGGACCCGGAUCCGGGGCACUUUCGUUGCGAACUGCCAGGAGGGCCCUGAGUUGACUCUUCUUUCGGAUUUGUGUUGUAAAACACUCGGGGGAAUGAUUGUCACCGGACAGACCGCCUCUGGCGCGACGUGAAGCCUCGCUGUCACUCGGGAAGGGACGAGAAAACGACAGGCUGGUGGCAAGGGCGGCGCAGUAGGCAGCACAGGUAGCUCAGGUCCAGGGGACCAGUUGUAAACGGCAGUGCCGGGCUUGAGCAGAACCCACCGUCCUUGGCCUGCGGGUGGGUGGCUCCCGAUUAAAGUUGGCUGGGUCUUCUUUUUAAAAACUCAAUCGAAAGAACAGGCUGCAUGUGUCGAGGCUCGACGCGGUGGCUGGGAGCGCGGCCGCCUGCGACGGUGGCCUGGAUUCGCUGGAACUGCGUCUCGGGUCACCGCGGGGAGCGCUCGGCUGCGCCCCGGGCCGCCAGGCCGCCUCUCUCCGAGAGCAGGGACCUAGAUGCUUCGCUCACGGGCGUGGAGGGCGUUCAGGCCUGUGGAGCGUCUGCGUCCGGACGUACACUUGGCUUCUGUGGCUUUCAGUUGCCCUCCGAGCUGGAUUUAAAGAGAAGGGCCGGCACGCAGGGCCAACCGGGUAAGUGCCCGGAAAGCGCGCUCACACGGAACCAUUAACCUGGGCAGUGAGCUUUCAGGUUUACGGUGGAUCCCCUCGCCCCUUUGCCCCAGUGGCCGAUGCCUUUGGAACAAGUCGGCGUGGACAUGCACGUUUCAAGAAGCUGUGGUUUCCUGGAGGCCAAGCUCUGGGAAACGGCAGAAACGCUCGCGGGCUUGGGCUCCGGGCCCUUCCCGGAAAGCGGCGGCGGCGCAGACCGUGGCGCCCUCCACCUCCGUCCUGGGGCUCCCGGGAGCCGGGCAGGCUGAGCGGCGACGCGGCCCGAAGUCGUGCGCGCGGGCGGCGAGGGGGCGCUGUGGCCCGCGGCUGCCGCCUCGUCCCCGCCGCGGUGGCCCCGGCGCUGUCCCCGGCCACCGACGGGCGGCGGGAGUCCCGGACCUGCCUCCUCCCACGUCGGUUUGAUUCGGGGAAGAAGGACAAUAACACUGGAGCAUUUCAAUAAAACCUGAGCCUCACUCGACCUUUCUCUCGUUCCGCCUUCUUCCGGGGAGUUUGUAAGAGUUUGGUGGGAAAAUAGGUGCCAUU